rnacentral:lncRNA from 1 species
UCAGAUAAGACUACGAGUUCUUACGUAGUAUUACUUAAUCUCAAUGCAAGUUAUUGGUUCAGGAUUAUUUUUUGUUUUUCCCAUUCUUUGUUUUGACGCAACGCCACCAUGGAGUUCAUCGCCUACGACUUGCUACCUACACUCACACACACAUAUAUGAUCUACCCCGUCCUUCUGUGUACUUCCCCCUACUAUGGCAAUAGCACCGCCAGUAGUUGUAGUUCGCUGCUAGGUGGCCUUUCUAUCUUCAUCUUUUCCAUUGAUUUGCGGCCCCGACAGUGCUGGUUCCUCCCAGUGAUUUUAUUUUGUUAAGUAUUUUUAUAAUAGAUGUUCCUUUUUUAUCUAAAAAAAUUUAGGUACUAGCGGUCCAAGUGUUCAUCCUGAUUCUGUCCAUUUCUUCAGGGAAUUCUAGGAGGUCGUGGACCUGUGGUUAUCGUAUAUUGGUUUGGAGAUUCUUCACUUGACAAUUUGCAAUGACUAACGGGCCUGGUUAGUUUCUGCAAUAGCUCAUCUCUUAGUUCUGUAAAUUCUUGGAUUUGAUAGCCCUAAAGUUUGUGUAUUAGGAUUGAAGAUGCAUGAGGCAUCCCUGGAGAAUGGAGAUGAAUGAGGAAGUACUAAGAUAGUGAGAGAUGAGAUUCCAGCCUGGUAAGGCAGCACAGAUAAUUAUCUAUUUUUUUUCAUAAAAAUGUAUAUAUCCAUUUCUGAUCUUUUUUUUCUGAUUGUUUGGAAAAGGGUCCUGGUCCAAGAAAGAUGUUACGAAGUGGUAUGCCAAAACAAAAGCUAAUGUUUCCAUUCAAAUUAUGCAGUUUAGAAGGUAUUACAAAUUAAGUACAAACUAUUGACUUCAGACUAUCCCUUUUUAGCCUUGAAUUAUCGAGUUUGUCUUCUUUUAAUUAUCGUAUAUCCUUUACAUACAUGGUUCCAUUACCAAAAUCAGGGAGGAGCUUGGUGGUGCUGGAGUUAAGGAGUACUACUGGUGGUGGGUUAGGAUAGUGUCGGUCGUUGUUUUCACAUGCUCUGUCUUCAGGUCCUCUCGCGAUGUCCUGCACCACUAGGAACCUCUCAUUCGCUCAUCGCCAUACACACUUCUACAUCGGCCGCUCAUGAUGAUCUAUAUUAUCCCCUUGUUGGGUUUGUUUAGCUUUUUGCAUGAUAAUUGUUUGAUUACUUAUACAUGGAGUAUUAGGUUGCGCUUUCUCCAAAGGUGUUGAUAUGAAAGCCUUUUUUCUGGUAGAUGUGGUUCAUUCCGCUUUUAAUAUCUUAUAAAGACUUCUAGCAUUUUAUCCUAAUGAUUAACCAACUAUUGAGGAGUUGGGCAUAUCUUUAUAAAAUAUAAAUUUUGGAUUACAUUCAUGAUACAGAUGUUGUUCUACCAUGUUCUAUUUUAUGCAUCAAGUGUUGACUAGCACUUUUUUUUGGAAAUGGUAUGUUGACUAGCACUGUCUCCACUACUUCCAUCUAUCCCUUUUGUUACCAUCUCCCAGUUAGGUUGAUUCCCAAUUCUCUAUUCCGGUUUAUCCCUCCUUAUUCUUGGGCAACUGUUAAGUUAGUGGUUGUGCUUUGCUCUAUAUUCCUUUAAGGUUACAGAAAUGUAGGUUCAUUUAGUCGGCAAGGUAGAUUCAGGAAACAAGUGUAUCUAAUCCAUUCAUUUAUAUCAUUGCUGAGAAAAUUGUCUUAGAUAACCUGAAUGUCCACCAAACAUUUAGAUAUUGCAGUGCUGUCUCAAGAGGUACAUCAUCAUCGCAUAGUUCCUUUCCUUAAUAUCUCCGUGUGGUUCAUUACUCCAUUUUCCUAUUGAAAGAUCUUUUAGUCAUGGUCAUAUUAUGCUUUUCGCAGCCACUAAAACUGGAAAUAACGACAAGAAAUUUUUGCGACAUUGACUGCUUCCUGCCAUGGCAUGGAAUCUUAUUGUUGUAUUUCUAUAAAACUCUAUCCCAUUGGAUUUGAGAAAUAGACUGUCGGCACCCUCUCCACUGCAAUCCAGCCGUUACCAAUCAGUUUGCAUCCUGCAUGGUGCUGCAGUAGAAGAGUACAGAAGAGAAACAAGAGGAGAAGCGACUCGGCAUCCCUACAGAUUUUGUAACCCCCCUUAGAAAAGAAAAAUUGAAAGCGUAUUGUGGUUUUUAGGAGACUUUCUCAUCGGCUGUUGAUUUGUUGUUUUCAUGUGUUGUUUGUUUUCUCUCAUAAGUUAAAUAGUUUAUUGGUGUUAUUUUUGUAAGAGAUCUCUUUUUGUAAUAUGAAGUGGGUACAACAGAGGAGCCAAGUAGUUAAUCAUUUAUCUUGUCUUGGAAGAAAUAUAUGUACUAUGUUAAUGGUUAAUAUGAUUGACCCAGUCCCAAACUUGUAUUUGAAUUCAACAUGGUUUGUUAGAUAGUACUAUAAUUUCGUGAAAAGGUGUAGCUUAAAGAAUACGAGAGACAAAGAAUUG